GAAUGAAUUCUGAAAAAUGGAAUACUUAAGAGGAAAUUUCUCUAUCAUAUCAAAGUCGAUCAACAUGCCUUCUGUGUGACAGGCACUGUGUUAGAGACAGGACAGAGAACUCAGGAUGCUGGCUCUGCCUGCAAGAAGCUUACCUUCAAGAUCGGAAGGCAAGCCUUUCAAUACCUAUAGCCUUUCCAGCACUGAAUCAAACAUGUAAAGAGUUAACUGCCCUGAGGAGCACAUAAAAGGAAUUUAAAUGACCUAGUAAAACGAACAAAAGUUAUAUGAACUGCAUCCUCCUCUUCUCAACACAUGGAUUCAAUAAAACUUCCCUUCCAAAAAGGGAUCUGAAAGUUAAACCACACUAGGGUGUGAUUGACAACAAUCUUGAUAGUGCACUUUUCAAAAUAUUGGCAAGUUAAGUUUCAGAAGGCUUAAAUCAAAAGAUUGAUUCAAAAAUGCUAUGAAGCAAAGAAUUCUUGGAUAAUUUCUCCUGAAUCUCUGGAUACAGUCCUUGUUGGCUUCUCCUCGCUGCCUCAGGUAUCACCACGACAGCAUAAUUUCCCAUUUUUCCAUAUUAAAAUACCAAUAUGCUUGGGAGAGAACAUUUAGUUUGCCUUAUUAGCUAAUAAAACAUCAUUUGAAUAUAUAUGAUCCUUUCCUCUCUGAAAAUUAAUCAAAA
rnacentral:lncRNA from 1 species